rnacentral:rRNA from 1 species
AACGAACGCUGGCGGCAGGCUUAACACAUGCAAGUCGAACGCCCGUAGCAAUACGGGAGUGGCAGACGGGUGAGUAACGCGUGGGAAUCUCCCCAAAGGUACGGAACAACUCAGGGAAACUUGAGCUAAUACCGUAUGAGCCCGAGAGGGCAAAGAUUCAUCGCCUUUGGAUGAGCCCGCGUUGGAUUAGCUAGUUGGUGGGGUAAUGGCCUACCUAGGCGACGAUCCAUAGCUGAUCUGAGAGGAUGAUCAGCCACACUGGGACUGAGACACGGCCCAGACUCCUACGGGAGGCAGCAGUGGGGAAUCUUGGACAAUGGGCGAAAGCCUGAUCCAGCCAUGCCGCGUGAGUGAAGAAGGCCUUAGGGUUGUAAAGCUCUUUUGCCCGGGAAGAUAAUGACAGUACCGGGAGAAUAAGCCCCGGCAAACUUCGUGCCAGCAGCCGCGGUAAUACGAAGGGGCUAGCGUUGUUCGGAUUUACUGGGCGUAAAGCGCACGUAGGC